GUCCACGCCGUAAACGAUGAGUACUAGCUGUCGGAGGUUACCCCCUUCGGUGGCGCAGCUAACGCAUUAAGUACUCCGCCUGGGAAGUACGCUCGCAAAGAGUGAAACUCAAAAGGAAUUGACGGGGACCCGCACAAGUAGCGGAGCAUGUGGUUUAAAUUCGAAAGCAAACGCGAAAGAACCUUACCUAAAGCUUGACAUCCUUCUGACCUCUCCCUAAAUCGGAGAUUUCCCUUCGGGGACAGAAGUGACAGGUGGUGCAUGGUUGUCGU
rnacentral:rRNA from 1 species